rnacentral:tRNA from 1 species
UGGAGCAUGGGUAAAAAAGGGACUAAAUCGAGAGAAAAAGUCCCUUUUUAUGCUGUUUAAGCCCUCUAACCUGAAUGGGGUUCAGGGGGUCGCGGGUUCAAAUCCCGCCGUUCCGA